CCCUUAGAUGUUCUGGGCCGCACGCGUGCUACACUGAGCGGAUCAGCGGGUCAGGUUGCGCGAAAGCGUUUCCUAAUCUUUAAAUCCGCUCGUGAUGGGGAUUGACGGUUGCAAUUUUCUGUCAUGAACGAGGAAUACCUUGUAAGCGCGGGUCAUCAUCCCGCGCUGAAUACGUCCCUGCCCUUUGUACACACCGUCCGUCGCUCCUACCGAUUGAGUGGUCCGGUGAGGCUUUGGGAUCUGAGCGGAAAGAGCGUUUCGCUGUUUCUGCUCGGAAAACUCAGUCGAACCUUAUCAUUUAGAGGAAGGAGAAGUCGUAACA
rnacentral:rRNA from 1 species